CGGCAGCCGCGAAGCAGCAACCAUGCGUGAGUGCAUCUCCAUCCACGUUGGCCAGGCUGGUGUCCAGAUUGGCAAUGCCUGCUGGGAGCUCUACUGCCUGGAACACGGCAUCCAGCCCGAUGGCCAGAUGCCAAGUGACAAGACCAUUGGGGGAGGAGAUGAUUCCUUCAACACCUUCUUCAGUGAGACGGGCGCUGGCAAGCAUGUGCCCCGGGCUGUGUUUGUAGACUUGGAACCCACAGUCAUUGGUGAGUUGACCUCAGUAACCCAAGUGAGAUCCCCGGGUUCUGGGACAGAAGGUCUGUCCUGGGGGGCUCCACUGGUCACUCGCCCACUCACCCACUCCCUCCGUCCUUCUCUCCCUCCUUCUCCAGAUGAAGUUCGCACCGGCACCUACCGCCAGCUCUUCCACCCUGAGCAGCUCAUCACAGGCAAGGAAGAUGCUGCCAAUAACUAUGCCCGAGGGCACUACACCAUUGGCAAGGAGAUCAUUGACCUCGUGUUGGACCGAAUUCGCAAGCUGGUAUGUUUCUUUUCAAGAAUAAAGUAAAUUAAUGAGCCUAAAGAACACAUUUGAAAUACUGCUUUUUUUUUUCCAAACACAGAAUUGAACUGUUAUUUUAAUAAAGAGUGGAAUGAGUCAUUCUUUGGAGGUUUUUUAAAUUCAGUUAA
rnacentral:sRNA from 1 species